UGGGGAAUCUUGCACAAUGGGGGCAACCCUGAUGCAGCGACGCCGCGUGAGCGAUGAAGGUUUUCGAAUCGUAAAGCUCUGUCCUAUGGGAAGAUAAUGACGGUACCCUGUGAGGAAGCCCCGGCUAACUACGUGCCAGCAGCCGCGGUAAUACGUAGGGGGCUAGCGUUAUCCGGAUUUACUGGGCGUAAAGGGUGCGUAGGUGGUCCUUCAAGUCGGUGGUUAAAGGCUACGGCUCAACCGUAGUAAGCCGCCGAAACUGGAGGACUUGAGUGCAGGAGAGGAAAGUGGAAUUCCCAGUGUAGCGGUGAAAUGCGUAGAUAUUGGGAGGAACACCAGUAGCGAAGGCGGCUUUCUGGACUGCAACUGACACUGAGGCACGAAAGCGUGGGUAGCAAACAGG
rnacentral:rRNA from 1 species